CCCUACGGGGUGCAGCAGGCGCGAAACCUUUACAAUGCACGCAAGUGUGAUAAGGGAACCCAAAGUGCUUAGCUUUGCUAGGCUUUUGCCAAGAGUAAAUAUCUUGGAGAAUAAGUGGUGGGAAAGACUGGUGCCAGCCGCCGCGGUAACACCAGCGCCACGAGUGGCGAUCCUGUUUAUUUGGCCUAAAGCGUUCGUAGCUGGUUUAAUAAAUCUCUUGUGAAAUUGUUCAGCUUAACUGAUCAGCGUGCAGGAGAGACUGUUAAACUAGGGACCGGGAGGAGUCAGAGAUAUGCCGUGGGGAGCGGUAAAAUGCUAUAAUCCUCGGUAGAUCACCUGUGGCGAAGGCGUCUGACUAGAACGGGUCCGACAGUGAGGGACGAAAGCCGGGGGAGCAAACCGGAUUAGAUACCCGAGUAGUCCCGGCCGUAAACGCUGCGAGCUAGGUGUCGCAUAAUCUCCGUGAUUGUGCGGUGUCGAAGCGAAGGUAUUAAGCUCGCCGCCUGGGAAGUAUGGUCGCAAGACUGAAACUUAAAGGAAUUGGCGGGGGAGCAC
rnacentral:rRNA from 1 species